GAUUCAGAGAUGAUUUCCUUCAGUUCGGCUGGACAAGUGACAGGUGCUGCAUGGCUGUCGUCAGCUCGUGUCGUGAGAUGUUGGGUUAAGUCCCGCAACGAGCGCAACCCUCAUCUUUAGUUGCCAUCAUUCAGUUGGGCACUCUAAAGAAACUGCCGGUGAUAAGCCGGAGGAAGGUGGGGAUGACGUCAAGUCCUCAUGGCCCUUACACGCUGGGCUACACACGUGCUACAAUGGCGGUGACAGUGGGCAGCAACCUCGCGAGGGGUAGCUAAUCUCCAAAAGCCGUCUCAGUUCGGAUUGUUCUCUGCAACUCGAGAGCAUGAAGGCGGAAUCGCUAGUAAUCGCGGAUCAGCAUGCCGCGGUGAAUACGUUCCCAGGCCUUGUACACACCGCCCGUCACACCAUGGGAGUUGGAUUCACCCGAAGGCGUUGCGCUAACCUAGCAAUAGGAGGCAGGCGACCACGGUGGGU
rnacentral:rRNA from 1 species